GGAUAGCUCAGUUGGUUAGAGCAUGGCUCUGCUAAUGGCAAGGUUGCAGGUUCGAUCCCCGUAAGGGACA
rnacentral:tRNA from 1 species